rnacentral:rRNA from 1 species
CCUACGGGAGGCUGCAGUGGGGAAUAUUGCGCAAUGGGCGAAAGCCUGACCCAGCAACGCCGCGUGAGGGAAGAAGGCUUUCGGGUUGUAAACUUCUAUUCUCAGGGACGAAGAAAGUGCCGGUACCUGAGGAAUAAGCCACGGCUAACUACGUGCCAGCAGCCCCGGUAAUACGUAGGUGGCAAGCGUUAUCCGGAUUUACUGGGUGUAAAGGGCGUGUAGGCGGGACUGCAAGUCAGAUGUGAAAACCACGGGCGCAACCUGUGGCCUGCAUUUGAAACUGUAGUGCUUGAGUACUGGAGAGGCAGACGGAAUUCCUAGUGUAGCGGUGAAAUGCGUAGAUAUUAGGAGGAACACCAGUGGCGAAGGCGGUCUGCUGGACAGCAACUGACGCUGAGGCGCGAAAGCGUGGGGAGCAAACAGGAUUAGAUACCCCUGUAGUC